UACGGAGGGGGCUAGCGUUGUUCGGAAUUACUGGGCGUAAAGCGCACGUAGGCGGCUUUGUAAGUUAGAGGUGAAAGCCCGGGGCUCAACUCCGGAAUUGCCUUUAAGACUGCAUCGGCUAGGAACGUCGGGAAGAGGUAAGUGGAAUUCCGAAGUGUAGAGGUGAAAUUCGAUAGAUAUUCGGAAGAACACCAGUGGCGA
rnacentral:rRNA from 1 species